CCUACGGGAGGCAGCAGUGGGGAAUAUUGCGCAAUGGGCGAAAGCCUGACGCAGCGACGCCGCGUGAGGGAUGAAGGUCUUCAGAUCGUAAACCUCUGUCAGCAGGGAAGAACGGUCACGGUGCUAAUCAGCAGUGAAUUGACGGUACCUGCAAAGGAAGCACCGGCUAACUCCGUGCCAGCAGCCGCGGUAAUACGGAGGGGGCGAGCGUUAAUCGGAAUUACGGGGCGUAAAGCGCUCGUAGGCGGUAUGUCAAGUCAAGGGUGAAAUCCCCGCGCUCAACGUGGGAACUGCCUUUGAAACUGGCAAACUGGAGUGUGUGAGAGUCUAGUGGAAUUCCAGGUGU
rnacentral:rRNA from 1 species